CUUAGCAAAGAAAAUAGAAUAUCUGAAUGGAUCAUUGUUGGUGUAUUGAUCGCAAAUGUCAUAUUAUCAUCUUUGGUGAUCGCUGUUAUUCUGUGCACAUAUUUACUACUGUUACAAUCUCUAGAAUUUUUACUGAGAGACAUAAAAGAAAAAAUCCUAACCCGACAAUUGGAUUUAGACAUUGCCAAACGGGAACUGUUUCGAGUCAAGACUUGGAUAGACACACUCAAUAACGAUUACGCUAUCCCACUAUUUCUGUUUUCCACCAUAUGUUUGAUAUACAUUUUGCAACGCU